UUUAGUUGUUUGAUAAUUGCAAAGGACAGUUUUAUUUAUUUGUUUUUAAAUAUCUCUCUGAAUAAACUCCAAGUGUGGGAGUGUAAUUUUACAUUUAGAGAAUGCUGCUCAGCAGCAGCGAAAACAUUUUGUUCCCAACACUGUUCCAGUCACUGAUCAGAAGCUUAUUUGCUACAGUGAGGAAAUCUGAGUCUCUUUCAGACAAAACUGAUGCAAAUAAAAGUUAAAGUAACAGUAUUAAAUGUUGUCAUGAAACUUUUUGCUGUUUCUGUUCAGUGUUUACCAAGUCUAAUUGUUUACAAAAGGAGAAAUUGGUUGGUUUUGUUGUUCUUUUGUUUUGUUUUAUAGCAGAUGGUUUAUGUGUGUACCAGAAGAGGUGUGACAUGGGAAGGGUCACGUCACAAACUAAAUGUUCACUUUUUGAAACACGGUUGAAAAGAUACCUUUCUGUUGUUCAUUAUUUAUACCCAGCAAAUGCAAGAGAAAUAACAGAUGCAGCAGCGUAAACUGCCAGGACGAAGAGAUCUGCGUCCAUGUUUAGAUAGAAUCAAAAUGUUGUGUGGUGGAAAAAAAUCCUACUUUGCUGGUGCUGUGUGCAUUAUAAUGCUAACAUCAGUGGUCAUGCUUUCUUAUCUUAGAUUACAGAGACUUAUACACCUGCCUAAAAUAGUACAAGAAGGAAGCAGGUGUAGAGGGGAAACUGCAAAAAGCACAAUAACGCCGUUAAAAGAUAACAGGACUUUUAUUAUAUCCCCAUACUUUGAUGACAGAGAAGGCGAAGUCACACGUGUGAUUGGGAUUGUUCACCAUGAAGAUGUCAAAGAACUGUACUGCUGGUUUUGUUGUCAGCCCCA